rnacentral:rRNA from 1 species
AAGGGGGGCAUUGCCUCAGUAACGGCGAGUGAAGCGGCAAAAGCUCAAAUUUGAAAUCUGGCACCUUUGGUGUCCGAGUUGUAAUUUGAAGAAGGUAACUUUGGAGUUGGCUCUUGUCUAUGUUCCUUGGAACAGGACGUCACAGAGGGUGAGAAUCCCGUGCGAUGAGAUGCCCAAUUCUAUGUAAAGUGCUUUCGAAGAGUCGAGUUGUUUGGGAAUGCAGCUCUAAGUGGGUGGUAAAUUCCAUCUAAAGCUAAAUAUUGGCGAGAGACCGAUAGCGAACAAGUACAGUGAUGGAAAGAUGAAAAGAACUUUGAAAAGAGAGUGAAAAAGUACGUGAAAUUGUUGAAAGGGAAGGGCUUGAGAUCAGACUUGGUAUUUUGCAAGCUUUACCUUCGUGGUGGAGUCCCCUGCAGUUUACUGGGCCAGCAUCGGUUUGGAUGGUAGGAUAAUGACUUGGGAAUGUGGCUUUGCUUCGGUAAAGUGUUAUAGCCCUUGUUGAUGCUACCUGUCUAGACCGAGGACUGCGUCUUUGACUAGGAUGUUGGCAUAAUGAUCUUAAGUCGCCCGUCUUGAAMMACGGACACAA